ensembl:lncRNA
CUCCCCUCGCGCUCAGCCCCGCGCCGUAGCAAAGUCGCGGCGGAACGGCGUGCGCUGCUCCCUUCGGACGAGCAGUCUUUAUUUUGUAAUCCCACAUCCCGUGGGUUGUGAUAAUCCGAGAGCCCAAUCUCCUCCUCCUGUUUUGCACUUGGAGCGAUGUGCCCUGGGACACAUGGAACGAUGUGCAAAUCGCUCAUGGAAAAAGAGGGGAUGGAUGAAGUCAGGCUGUGAAGGACCGCAUCCAGCAGCAGACCUCCCCUGGCAGAGGCUCUCUUGCUCCCUUGGCUGGGACGAAGUGCUGUGGCCACAGGCAUAUGGGGCACACUGAGACAAACCGAGCAGCUUUUUGAGAAUGUCCUGAGACCCUUGGCAAUGGAGAGAGAUUGCAGUGCAAGCACUUUUCUGGAUUACUCUGUCACUGAUGUCAAAUCAAAGCAUCAAGGAUAUAAAUCUUCAGUAAACAUCUGGCCUCACUUCAGCCAGGUUAUGCAAUGCCUCAAGUACAUUCAGCAGCAGAUUAUGCUGCGUUCUCCUUUUGUGCAAUGCAAGCUAAUGUGAAUAUCAAGUCACAUCAGUGGUCUAGACAAGUAGUUGGGAGAUAAAGACAGCAACUCAAACCGGGAAGUUUGGCCUCUCAGGGCACGUCAAGGGAAAACUGACAUGUCACUGAAGACCCAGAAAGAAAGAAUGCCGGAGAAGAGGUAAAUCAUAGAAAAGCCUAAGCAUCACCUCUGCUCAGAUGGAAGAAGAAAAAAAGAAAAAAAAGCCAGACCCAAACCUUGCCCACCUGGGCAUCCUGCGUGGGAUGGAAUCCAGCCCUGCACUGCCCAGCAAUGGGUCUCCUCUCUGCUUUGUGCAAAGGAAGAUUAAGCAGAAGGGAUAAGAAAAGACAGGGGAAAAAAAUGCAUUUCUUUGCAGUAAACACAGCCUGCAGCCAUCGGUUUCUCUCAGCAUUGGAUGGCAAUUAUUUCUGUGUAAUAAGCAGUCACCCGAUGACCCUCCCCUUCAGCUUGCAACGCUUCUGCUGUCAAGUGUUAAUCCCUUUGUUAGCUACUCAGCUGCACAUUCAUUUAGGAGGACUAAUGACUUACACUGUUCCUUCUCUGCACGAUUUCAGCAGACGUGUAAUUAGAGGUGAAUGGCAGCUUCAGAGGUACGGCUACCACUGGGGCCGGGGGCAAAGUCAAAGUGUUUGUCUGAUUUCACCAUGGGCUGUUUCAGUGAGUGAAACCAUGUGGGCGGCUGCAUAUGGGGGGGAAAGGAAGUAGGAAAGGAGAAGCCAAAAAAAAAGAGAAAGGAUAAGAGUCAGUUGUUGGGCAUUUGGGGAGCUCGGAUGUGAAAACGAACGUGUUUCCAAAUAUUUCUUUGUUGGGGUGUGAGACUGAGCUGAAUGCCAGCGAGGAGCCUGUUGGCACACAGACUGAGAAGGUACCGAAAGGUGAAAAGCUUUGUUUCAAAGUGCUGGAGAUCCGUAGUCGUUAGCAGAGUGAGUGUGAGAGCCAGAAAGUGAUUAAAAAAAGCAAGUAUUUUGAAGGUGAGCUGAGGAAGUGCUCGCGUGCCUCCGCAGUGCCUUACAGAAUGCAGCCUCUAGUUUUUUUUUCCUAAGUGAAAGCCAUCUCUGCAACACCUCGAGAAACAUCCUGCGGCUCUUACACCAUGGGAAGAUGUCCUUUUGAAGUGCAAGUGAAUCCCUGCGUAUGUAUUAACAUCACAGGAUGGAGUAGAAAAGUAUAACAGGGAGCUGAGGUCCUGAUGGAUUUCAGCGCUGAAGAGGAACUCGAGCAGCCUCAGAGAUGACACACGUUGGGCUUCCAUCUCCCCAGCAAUGCAGCCGUGUCGCCACUGUUGCUGUGCAGCCGGCAGGGACAGGACACGGUGUGGCUGACAGCCCUGGGGAUGAGGACAUCCAGUUCUGAGGGACUUGCGGUCUGCUGGUAAGCAAACACAAUUAAUUAAAUGGACCUCAGAACGCUGCCUCUGCUUGCCACCCUUCGUAUGUCUGAACUGGAGCCCAUCAGUCAGCCUCUGUUGGUGCCGCUGGAACACCCGGGCAGCGCUCGGGACAUCAGACAAACCUGUGGGAGGGGAAGACAGUUACAGUCUGAUUUUUGGAUGCUUGAGGUGAAGAAACAGGCUCUGCCCGUGCAGUCACAGAUGGUAAGGCUGUAGGGUUUUAAAAUACACACUAAAUCAGUAUUCUGUCCUCUCUGAGGCGAGUGUGUCAGCAGCGUGUAGGAAACGUGACUGGGAACUCUAGGAUGUCACUGCAUACUUUUAAGAGCCUUCUGGUAAGAAGUUGCCAAAAGCAUAUGGUCUCUAUUAAUAAGGAUAUUUAGCAUUUUUCUUCCUAAUUUAUUCACGGGUAAUUAUUUGCUUACCUAGCUUGAAGUGGGCUGGAAUCCAGCUCUUAUCUGUUGUGGAAAGCUGUCACACUUCCCUCUGCCUUUCUCCAGCCCUCACUUGAGAGCAGCUAUGCAUCUGGCCAAGCAAAGCUGCCCUGCUCCUUCUCUCUUCUAAUAACUCAGAGUCUUGCCUGGCCAUUACAAACUUUAGUUUCUAAAAGCGGUGUGAAAAGUACUUUUCAAAGUACUGUGACAGUAAGAAAUAGAUUCGGCUGCUCCUCCUGUUGGCUGCCUGCUCCCUGCCAGGACAGCUGGCUCUUUCCAGGUCUGUGCCCACAUCACUGCAGUGCCAGAACAUCACCUAACCAACGCUUCAGAGACUCCGUUUUGUCCCACCUCUUCUGUUGCUGCGUUCAAAUGUUAAAGAAAAUAUAAAGGAAAAAAAAACACCUCCCUCAGAAGUUUUCAUCAAAGGUUUACUGGUCAGAGCCCGGGCUCUGUCUCAAAACUCUGCUGCUGUUCUUUCUAUGCGUAUCCUUCUUUCACUGCUCCCUGCAGUAAUCAGAAUCCCAAAUGCCUUCUUUCUGAUGAGGAUUAAGCCAUGACCUGCACAUGAUUGCAGGAAAUAAGCCUUUAAAAUAUGCCCAAAUGCACCGCUUGUUUGAAGUCACUGAUCCUUAAAAUAGAUGUCUGAAAAAAUGUGUAAUUUCAAAUGCUUCUGCAGAUAUUGUUCCAGUAUGUGUAACAAGGGGUCGCAUCAAGCCAACUUACAUCAGUUGUGCUCCAUUAUAUCACGAACUGAGCAAAUGGAUCCAAAUAUACAGUAAUACUUCAGCUGCUAAUGAAAGCCUUGUACAGUUCCUUUCUCUAGAUACCUCUAGCGAGAUGGUGAGAAAAUACCUGAUUUCUUUCUUUUCUUUUUCAGGGACCUUAUGAGAUACUGGUCAUGAAGUGCCAUCAUGGAAACCUCUGCAAGAAGCUCAAGCUUCAGGAAUCCUAAGGUACUAACUGUCGUUUAUAGGUCCUGUUCCUCUCACUGGUGAAGCUCUUUUGCUAUCAUUUGAUGUAUCGAAUACAUGGAUAGUAGUAGAACAGUAUUGUUCCCUCCUCAGUCUCAAGGCAAAACAUAACUUGGUCCUAUUUAAUAUUAAUUUAAUGUUAACAAAAUCAAGAUAAGUUCAGAAGUUUCACCUUGACUGAGGUUCUCAGCUCUCAUGCUUGUGUGCAUACGAACUGCUGAGAAAAACAUAUCAGGCUUUUCCACAGCGAUGAUCAAAGAAAAAUCACAAAUGCAGUGGACUUCAAAGCAAAGGGGCAACGGCCCAGCCUUCACUCAGUCAGCGUGCACAAAAUGGAAGGGCCCAUUACCUGUAGAUGGGAGAGGAGCAGAGCUAAGCCGCAGGUAGGUUUGUAUUUGAUAUCAUCUACUGACAGUGACGGGUCACAGCCUUGCCACAGCUGAAGGCUGUUGAGGGCCACCACAGAGCCUCCCAGCAGCAGUUCAGAUGCUGCAUGCUAUUUAUUUGCAUGCAAUUGGAAUCCACCCUACUAGUGUGCAUCGCUGACAGAUAGGAGGAAAGGAUUCACUGCAAGCACUGAGCCAGCACCGACAAGCCGGGAGGUGAAAACUCAGGAGCUUCACUGAAGGCAGCUGAAGCCUCCACUGCUGCAUAUUGUGGUGCCUGCAGAGUCACAGAGAAAUAAAUCUUGGUUAAAUUUUUGAUGAGCUUUCAGCUGCUGUAAAUAAUUAACUAGGGCCUCUCUCGUUUGAACACGGGUGCAACUUUUCAUGUUUCAAACGCUUCCUGCCUCAGUCCCAGGGGAUUGCUCAAGUAAUUCAGGUCAUUCUUUCUUUUAUUUAUUUGCAGCAUCACCGGUCCAAACAAAUUUUGAACUUUCAAGCUGGGAAGGGAGAAAGCAUUUUCUUCUUGAUUUUACUCCAGGUAAAUCCCCAAGGGAGCACGUGUCUCAUUUGCAGUAGUUGAAUAAUAGAGAUUGAUGGGUUAAUCAGUUCCCAUACCAUUUAUGGAGUAAUGCUGUGCGCUCAUAGAUGAAGUCUUCAUGUUUCUCAAGUCUGCUGUUUCAAAGAUGAGAGCACAGGACAGCUUCAUACAGACAGAUGCACUAAGGAGAGCAUCCCUGUGUGUCCCCCCCAGCUAAAGCACAUUGGGCUGAUCCCGCUUUUGACAGUGCGAGUACUGAAGUCAGUCCUGCAUCACCACCAGGUAAGCAGCACAAAAAAUGAGGUCUGAAGAACAACUGAUUUGUCCCUUCAUUAGGUGUCAAAAGGAGCUUGGAUAUUGUUUUAGGUGGAAACUCAUGCAUAGAUGAAGUGGGUGUAAACUGUAUUAAAUAUUGGAUUCAAACUCCAGAUUAGGGGUUUUGAUGUCCUAUCCCAAGACUUUAAUGUCUAAAUUGAACUACUAAAAUAGCUCCUUCCUCAGGACUCCAUCCUGUCCCGCUUAGUUCUAUACCCACACACAAUAGGUCACCUACCACUACUGUGGUCUGAGGCUGAUUUGGAUUUACUGCAGUGUCAUACUUUCUGUUUCAAUGCCUAUUGAGUAUGAUUUAUUACAAUGACAGACCACACUACUGUUUGCAAUGCAGGCCGAAUGCAUUCCCACUUUUUAAUACAGUUUCUCACAUCAUCUCCAGCAUUUGAGAGAAUGUAUAUUUAUUUUAAUCACCGUGUACUGAAUAUGUAAUUUUUUUCCUAGGUAAAAUUUCCCUUUAAUAGAGGCUGGGUUAUGAGAGAGCAAUUAUUUGAGUUAUGUGCACAUUACAGAAUAAUUUAACAUCAGCUUUUGGGUCAAUCUUUUUUAAUUAUCUAUUUUAUCAACUGGUUUUGACUAGCAGUUUAAAUAAUUGUGUUUGCCUAAUAUCUGGAAAUGUAAUUGCUUUUAGACAUCCUUUAUUCCAAUCCUGGUGUUGUUACCGUCUUGCAUACGGUGCAUGUUGGCACCUGUCUGUGCAGUGACAGAUUUGUGGUGACAGCUUAUAUAACUUAUUUAUAAAAUGAUGAAUUAUUUUUGAAUUUAACUUCAAGUUCACAGACUGGAAAAGUGGAGAAACACCUGCUUGCUGCAGAGGAUCUGCUAAGGAAGUCCAAAGGGAAACUAUGCACAGAGGGGAAGAGCACAGGCCAAGUGAAACAGAACCAUGUGGGUCAUCGUUAUGCUGUUCCAGGUAGGACUGUGGAUACCAAAGCAGGGAUGGGGUGACGGGGUGACCGAAGGAACAAAGGAACAGGCCCACAACCACAACAUCAUAGCAGGAAUUUUACUUACCUUCAGCCUCAAGAGGACAGAGAUUGAGGGGAAUGACAAAGAGAAACAAAAGAUAAGAACUUUUCCCAGGACAAAGGGAUGUUACUAUUUAUGAACCUGCAAGAGAAUUAGAGCUGAAAUACUUAGACAGACAAAAAAAAAAAAGAGAGAGAUUUUAAUUAAUGAUGAUAACUCUUAGAAAAAGAACCAGAUUGCCAGCCCUGAAAACUGCCAAUUCUUUUUAUCCACAAUGUAUACACAACCUUGGGGAGGCUGCUGCUAAGAGCCCCAGCACAGGACAUUGCCCUGAGCUUAGAGAAGUCCAACAUCUCAGUGGUCACACGCUUUGGCUUUUGCUGCAGCUGCACUUUGCAACAUGAGUAGCUGUGCACUACAUCAAUUCCAUGAUACAAUCAGAUCCGUUGACAUGGGCAAUUUGUCCCUAAUGACUUGAGUCAGCCUACAAAGGUUACCAAGAAUCACAAAUCCUACUCAGAUAAACGUAGAGUAGCAUAUGGUCCAUUCAAGGACCAAACCUAAGGAAGUCAUGGUAAAUGGAUUACCAGGCCCUUCUAAUACCUAGGGACAUUCUUAUUUAAAAAUAAACUAUAAAAAUAAAGAAAAAUGGCUCCUCAUUCAGAUCAAGUCAUUUUGGUUAAAUUCCUAUUAUCCUGUUUAAACAGCAUCCUUUUAUCCCAGUUUUGAGGAGCAUCAUAUCUGUGGGGGCCACGAGGCACAGAAUUUGGCAAAGCACCAACUGCAGAAUUUCUUCCUGAGUUAGAAGAGAGGGGGAGGGAUUGUAUUUUUUUAGUUGUUAAUACAUUCUGGAGCAAUGAGGUGUUAGCAGAAGCCUUUCACCAUCUCCCUCGACAUCCUGUUCCCCACCCCUCUGCAGCUGGAUGGGAACUCACCUCCCAGCAGUUCUAGGCAGACAGACUGGGGUAACAAAUCCCCUGGUAGAAAGAAAUGCAAUCUGACUGAUCCCUGAAAAUGUAAUUUCUAGUUCACGGGGGCUAACAGAUGCAGGUAGCUCAAGCUAAAGCAGAAGGGUACCACCUCACCACAGCUUUCUUACGGGAUGGAAAAGCAGUGAUCUUUACUACUGGAGACUGAUAUUGCAUAGAUUAAGUCAAAUGUAUCAACUUCACUUUAACAUGAGUGUUUCUAUUACCUGGGUCAGAGAGUCUGUGCAGUCACUCUCCAGAACCCGCUGUUAUUAAUUCAGCAAUUAUAGCUUUAUGGUGGCAGGGAUUCCUCGGUGUUUGAGCUGGCGCUGGAAAGCUGUAAUUCUGAAUGGAACAUGACAUGAAUUACUGGAUUGCUGUAAUUCUUCAGCUUUUCAUGCAUUUUCACUGCAUAUAUUAAAAUACAGCAAGCAAUUCACUUUUAAUUAUGUAAAUUCCAAGACAGUAAGACAAGAGAUGGAUGAGUUUUUAAAUGCCUGCUCUGCCUGACCACCUGUGGUUAGCACAGAAAGCCAUGGGCUCAGCAGGUCACCCUGCCCUCCGCACUCCUGCUCUCCCGGCUGUGCACAACACCGCCUCUUUUUAGUAUUCAGCGGUACUUCGAGAGCAAAGAGCACAGGAAAGAAAUGGCCAGAGGGGGGCUGGGAAAAGUCAGAUCCUGUCCACCUGCCUCCCUCACUUCUCUGGGUUUCCAAACAGACGAUACAUCACUAUUCUGACAUCAACAUAAGACCGCAAGGGCUGCAGAUAUUUACUGCUCUCUUAUUUGGCAAUUAUCUUCUCAAUGUUGAGAUGUUAUUAACAACUUCACCAGAAUAUAUGAGUCAGGAUCAUAAUUCUACAGCUCUAUGCCUGGCUUCUUUGCUGGUCCUUAGCAAAGCUCACGGCUGCAACCAGCAGCACGUCCAUGCACAAAUGUGUGCAGUUAUUGUAAAGGAGAAAUAGGUUACACCGUUCUCAAAGACAUUGUUUUUAAAUUGUAAGAUUCUGAGUGCAAGUAAUGAUGGCUUGUUAAAAGCCUAGUGACUGUAUCUAAUAGCUGCAGUGUUUGGCGCUGUAAUUACAGUAGCAAGAGAUUGCUGAGCACGUGUAAAAAAGGAAUAAUUGGGGUAGCAGCAACGCAAAAGCUUCUCUGGGCCUAAAGCAACUGUUAUUUUGCCCUCCCACUGAUGUGCCACUUAACGAAGCUACAAUGGUUGGAAACGAGCUCUCUUUGCAGUUAAGUUGGGUGUUUUCUGUUUAGGAGCCCUACGGCUUCACCCCCAGUACCUCCGCAGCUCAGGACGCAGAGGUAAAAUUACACAAACGCUUAUUGCCUUGCCCUGCGAGAAUACAUCUGCCUCUCCUCCCUAGAGGCCAGGGAGAACUUUCAAGCAAGCAAAUUAGCAAUGCAAAUCUACAGCGACCUCUCCGAGGAGAGAGCACUGCUGUGCUCUGUUCUUCACGUUAGUAUUUCCAACCCUGGUGGACACUUUCCAUUUUCUCUAAUCUCUUCAUCCUCUUUUCCCCACCUAGGGACGUUUCUUUGCACAUCUCAGUCUUGCUUCUCUAAAGGUGGUUUCUUGCAGCUUCAUCAGCAGCUAUUCUGUCUGCUGGAGUCUUCUGCUGCUUUCCUGUGUGCCUAUUGCAGAACUGCAAAAGAACACCAUCUUCCUGAAGUAGUAGAUGGAGUGCAUUUCCAUCCUGCUCUUGGCAUUGCUAUUACAAGCUUCACUUGGAUGUGGCAUGUGCCCCCAAACCCUGGAAUUCAGCCUCAUCCCCAAGCUUUUUGAACCUCUCUGCUCUGUUCUGGCAUACCUAUUGAUCACAUCUAUAUAUCUAGCCAGAAGCGAACCUUACCUUCACCCCUAAAGCUCCUGCAGAAACCUCACUUGUUUGUUAGUCAGCUGCUUUCCUGGGUCACUGCGGGUCUUUUCUAAAAAUCGUGUGCAAUUUUACCGCUCGCUGAGCGAAGAACAGAACUACCUGCCUUCCACAGAACUACCUGCCUUCCUUCUUUACCUGCUUUGCUUUCACAGAGCAAUGCCUUUCUGGGCAGGGAUGCUACCGCAUCAGGCACUUACCAACAAGUAUCACCAUGUUCCCUACUUCUACUCCCAAGCCAUCGCAUGACUUCUCUCAGUCUCAGCGUGAGACAAGCCUGAUUUGAGCCAACAAAACAUCCGAACACAUGUUCCUCUAUGAAUUCAUCAGCAGAAAAGGCUGAGACCCCAGAACUAAACAACUGUGGUACUCUUCCCACUGCAGUAGGAAAAGUACCUCUUGCUCAUUGUGAGCAGUCGCUGGAAACUUUUCUACGUUCCAGUACACAACAGGAAAAGCAGACACUGUGUUUAUAACCAGAAGGAAAAGAAGAGCGCAAAAGGAGCUGCUGGCUGUGGGACUGAGGGAGUUCUUUCAAAGUAUAAAACGAAGCACAAGACUUGUGCAGAUCCUUCUGUAGUAUCCUGCUGUUGUGUAGCAGUGGCAGUUGCAACUCUUAACAUUAAUUCUGCAAUACACAUCUGCUGCUGGUUCCACCAACCAAAGACUGUGUAAAGAUCACCUUGCAAUGAGAAUCAGUUUAGCUCCAUUUAUUUCUUUAACGUCAGUGGAAUCACAGAGAUCACUUAUAACCUUGCAUGUUAAGUAAAGCAAUUAAUUGCACUACUGCACCAGGUUUAGACAUGAAAGGCAGACUUAAUAACAGGUUUAAAGAAAAGGCUUAGAGUAGGGGUUCAGAAUGCAGAAUAAGGGUUAGUGACAGCUAAUACCAGCCUGUAUAUAGAGAGCAAGGUUAAUAGUUGGCUUAAAGAUUGCUCAGAUCAAUAAAAGAACAGCACAAUGUACAUAAUAUGGGAGCUCAAUAAUAUUUGUUUCCAUCAGUGUUUUGAUGGAAACAAGUGGCAGAAGCACCAAGACUGCCCCUUCAUUUAAAGCAUGGUUUACAUGUGCAUGCUGGCUGCCAGACUGGAAACAUCCACUUCUGGCCUCGUCUCGGGGGGCUUCCCAUGCAGCUGGUAGAGAGCAUGGGAUGCAUUUCACAUCAGACUACAAAGGCAUCUGUGGAGCCUGGCUCUGACAAGGUAUCCUCCAACCAGACAUCAGUGCGGGGUGGGAAUGGCCCCGUACUGCCAAGACACGGAGGGUCUGGAGCCUGGGGUGGACUGAAGAAAUGGGGUCUGGGUUAACAGCAUGGCUGGAGUAACUGGUGGGUACAAUAGGGCACAUAACACUUUUUGCAGAGGUCUGAAGGUGAACUGACAUACAGCUCUCAUUUUCAAGGAACAUGGGAGGCCUAUUUUGCUUAUUGCUGAAAGAAAUGUAAGAAUGUUUGAAUUUGAGGCGCCUCAAUACCUUUUUAAUACCUUUGUUCUUAGCGUUCUUAACACCUGCUUAGAGCGAGCAGAAGUGGAGGUUGGCAGGGAAAAAUUAGCAAUUGCCCACCCAUCAUUCAUUUCCCAGGCUGUUCCCAGGGCACAGCAAUUAUGCACUUCACCUCGCUCAGGACAGGCUGUAAAAUCUCGGUAUUGUCCUUAAGUGCUAAAUCAAAGCAAGCAAAAAACGGUAAGUAAAUGUUUCCCACGCAACUGCUGCCCUUUGUAAGAAAACUAUUGAACUGAAAAUGAAAGGCAUCCAUAGGUACAUAACCAACGUUUCUAAUUUUACUUGCAGUGAUCCAAGGCGCUGUUUAAACAGCGAUGCUAUUACAGAUUUACUUAGCUGGUUUCUUUCUGAGUGCACCAGAACCCUGAUCCUUGCAACAAAGAAUGCCAAACAAAGCAGCAUUAGGCAAGUUACUGUGAAACGAAGGCAUAUUUGCACAGCAAUAGAAAGAUCUAAAUGGGACCAUAACGAGCAACCAAAUAGUAACGAAGUUGAGGGCAUUGCUUUGUAGGAAACAAGUGGCUAUUCUGAACCCUGAAGUGCCAAAUGUACUGAAUCACAAGAGCUCACUAAAAUGAGAGCAAACAUCUCAAUCCCUUCUGAGUAUGUACAAAUAUCAAAGCGAUUUGGGGCUGUUAACCUCCUCAGCUCGGUGACGGUAUCUUCACCAUCAGCGCACAGCACUUCCCUGUUCACAAACUGUCCGUAUAAUGGUUCGGUUUGACUGCAGCGCAAUGCAUGACUGAGGGGACGUUAAUAUCGAACAACUCUGAGUAGCUCAGCACCAAGGAUGAUUUAAAUAAAACAGAAAGUAAAGGAAGCAACACUACCCUUUGUAUCUGACAAUGUAGAGGGCGAAGUCGUGCCCAAAAUAUUUGGAUUUUUGUUUUCACAUGGAUUCCAUUGCUCCCACCUUCCUAAAGAGCCGAACAGUUUUAAGUGUACUUCCUUUGUUUCUGCUGCUCUGUCCUCUCUAGUUCCAAAGCUACAGCUGAAGUGCAUCCAUUCCCCCUCCCCUGCUCUGGCAUCCCAGCAGGACGGCAGCCAGGUCUCCUGCCUGUAUGCCUCACCGUGUCAGCUCAAUUCCUCCCCCUAGAAACUGCCUUCCAGUUUGCUGAAUGUUCGGGGACACAGAUAAAUUGUAAAGUGGUCAUGGAAAUAUAAGAAGCAAAGAUAUCUUUCUUUCCAGAUUAGAUAAUUAUCCACUGAGAGAGGAAAUAGCAACAACAAAACGGCUUCAAAUUCUUCUGAACAUAAUUGAGUCUUUUAAGAAAUACCCCAACACCUAAACAGCCAUUUCUUUACUUGGAGGAGGGGAAAAUGCCAUAAAGCUUAAGGAGCAUUUUGUUCGGGAAAUCACAUCUUUCCCUAUUUUGCAGCUGACACAUUGCAUUGCAGAUCUGUCACAGCACAUUACCUCGGUGAUGUAACGUAACGCAACACUGCUGAUGCGACCCAAUCCGAUGUGUCCAACGUGAUACAUCAGCUACAAUAUUUGAAAAGCUUUCUUUCUGAAAACAACCUGUAUAGAAGGGACUCCUCUUUACCAAUUAAAAAAAAAAAAGCCUUCCCAAAGAAUUGCAUCACCGGGAGAUAAUUGCUUUUUCACAGGUAAUUAGCAAAUACAAUUAGUUGUGGGAAAAGUUUGCUUUUCAGCAAUUCACACCAAAAAAAAAAAAAAAAAAAAGGUGAACAAAAGAUGACUGCGGCUGACAAAUAACCGCUUCCCAUGGCACCAGCUGAACCCACCCGAGUAGCAGCGGUUACAGGGUCAGAUCACACCACCACCGGACUCACUUUCUGUUCCCCACCAACACUCAGAGGAUAACCAGAAGUUCACCUUGUGAACUCUUCACAAACUGUCUGGCAGCUGAUUUUGCUCACCUGUGCAGUCGAUGUUAAUCACAGAAUCAAACAAAGAUACACCUCUCAGCACACGCCAUGGGAAGCUCUGCAGAUGCUUUGAGGACUACCUGCAGUCCUGCAGAGAAUUGCUGGAUUUUCACAGACAGGAGGACACGGUCCAUGUCACCAUGAUCAGAUGAAUACUAAGGAUCAAUGGCCUUAAAUAUUCUACUGGAGUGGCAGUGGUAUUUGUCAGCAGAGGAGACUUCAGCUCAAGCAAAUGACACCUUACCGCAUUGAUGGCAGCCAUCCAGAAAGCAACAACCACCCCUCCUCCCUCUAUCACUUGUUGGAGGGCAAAUGAAAGCUAACCUCACAGAACAGCCUGGGUUGGUGGAGGGCAUCUCAAAGAGCACCCAGUUCCAACACCUGCCAUGGGCACGGCCUGCCAACCACUCCAUCCAUCACUCAGUCCCCUCAAACUGCCAGUGGCUGCUAUGGAGGGCUUCAGAUGCUGAAGCAGCCAUCCCCCCACGGCGCUCCCUUUCCCUUCCCCACCCAGCGCUCCAUGUGCAGGCUGCCAGCAGCAGGACUGGGGCGCAGACAGGGCGCCAGGCCCUUCCACUCACUGCUUAGACUGAUUUUUCAAGUGUAAAAUGUAAUUCAAAUCUCCAUAAAAAGCUAUUUGCUCCCUAGCCUCGCAAUUCUUACACCACGUUUCAACCGUGAAAUCCAAUUGGAAAAAAAAAAGAAGCCUUAUGUUCAAGGUCUGAAAAUCCUGCAAGAGCCUUUAGCUCUCAGACUGAAUUGUAUCUUAAACGCCAUCUGACCAGUUCUGUCUCUUUCCUCUGAUGGGAUGGCGUGGUGCCUGGUCUCUAAAAGCCUGAUCCUGAGAGCUGGGCACCCCCCAGACCUAAAUUCAGGUACUCGUGGGCUAUGUGUCCCUCCACAAAGCUGUUGUAACAACAGAAUCCAAGCUGAGCUUUCUCAAGUUUGAAAAUAUGGCCCAAAAUGCAACUGUGCAAAUUAAUCUCUGAAAUUCAGAGCCCAUGCUGCCCAGCUGUGAACGCCGCAGUAUCACAACCCCCUCUGUACCAUAUACACACGUAUUUCCAGCCCUUCCAGAUGCACUGCUGCUCUCCAUGCUGAGGCAAUUCAGCAGAGAGCACAAAUCCUGAUGCAUCUAUUGCAUGCCCUGGACUAUUCCCCCCCCCCCCCCCCUCACUGAUGUAUAUCUGGAUACUCCAGACCUCUUGAAUAUAAAAACUCAUCACAGCACUCUGGAACACAGGUUGAUACCUCAGCUGAUACACACCAGUCAGACAAUUCAGGAGCUUUCACCAGUUCAAACAUUUUCUGAAUCAGGAACUUUCAGUUGGGUCCAAGUACGGUAACAGCACAGGGUUGCCAGCAGCCCAAGUUCUAACCCAGAAAUAGAUAAAGCUUUGAAUUGACACAACUUCUAAUCCCUUAGUUAACAUGAGUUAUAGGAAUCAACACUGAAUUAUAGGAAACAACACAAUGAUUUCUAUUUGCACACACGUUCUGCUCCAAUGCCAUAAAUCAUAACCACAACCUCCACUGGGCUUUCUACAGGCACAGAAAUAGGCAAAAAUCAUUCAUCUUUCAUUAAACACAAGAGAAGUUUCUGGCUUUUAUGAUGAUAACACAAAGCCUGCAAAUACAAUCUGUAUGUAUUCUACAGGCUCAGAAUGAGCCUCGUUAUCAGUGUAUCAUUAGCUACAGAUUGUCCCCUUGUCAAUAGGAUGUGAGAUGUUUCUGAAGAGCCCCGAAGUGAUGUGUGCCACACAUGUGAAUUGCUCCAUACACCCAACCCAGCACAACGUGCCACCUGACCGCGUUAAGCUCGCAGAAGAUAGAAAUCAGAAGAGCUUUUUCCAAACCAAACCUCCCUCUGGGUUCUCUCUCCUGACCUCUGGGUGUGAAGGCAUGCGGCUCUCAAAAGGCAUUCUGGAACUUCCAGCCGUCCCUUAUAUCACACAUCUUUUGCUUUCUGCUGUUAUGACACCCAGCCCAUGGGACCCUGUGCUUCUGGGUGAAAUCGGCCACCCCAUUGGAAAGCCAUCAUGCAGUGGCAAUUAUUUCUCUGCGAGCACUAUUCACCCAAUAUCCUGCUUUCUGUUGGAAGAAAUGUUGGCCCGGGUGCCUGACUUCUAACGAAGAACACUUCAUUAUAUCUCAGGGACUGGGAAACCUCAUCUGUAUCUAUUUAUAUAGCACACCUAUGGCUGUGGGAAGAAAAUACCUUUUUUCAAGUCAUGGGUUUUGUUCCAUGACAUGGCAGUUAUCUGCGGCAACAUCAGGUAACAGCACCACCUUCUGCCAACACGUUACCAUCUCUGUAGAAAACCAAUAGAUGCAUUUUCUCUCUGCGAUUUCAGUGGCUUUCUCAAACACUUCUGAUGCAGACAACAAAGUUCAGAGCAAAGCCCUAAGGGCUGUUUUGAAACACCCCAAGCUGUCUUACAGUGAUGAAAUUACUGUCAUGUAACCAACUUCAGAGGUGCAAUGAAUGCCCUGAGCUGGGCAACGCAACAGGGUGAGGCCGGCACUAUGAAACAGCCCUGGGAGGACAGCUGGGCACAUCUGUCUGAGUCUCUACAGGAAACUCACUCCCCAUCUCCGCAGUGUUUUACAUUGGUCCCCAGAGGUGCACAGAAGGGUACGGUACGUCCUACAGCUUUAGAUGAUUUAAGAUGCCUGAAAAUAAUCAUCUUUCUUUUUCUCUAGGUUCUCUUUGUCCUUAGCAGACAAUCUGGGACUGCCUUGCCUUCAGAUGUCCAAAUUUUAGGCAGUUGACUUUCAGAGAGAUGAACAUUACACAAUACACGUAUUUGCUUUUGAGAGCAAAACUGUGUUUUUACCUCAACAAACGCCCUAUUUUCCUGCCAAAUUCUUCCCUCUGUGUGGGACCAACGUGCACAUGGAGCCAAGGAACGCAGGAGAAAUGGUGUCAGCGGACACAGAGGUGAAGAAUAAGGUGCCAAUCAAUAAACCAGUAAUUAGCUCUGUUUGGCAGGCUGGGGGUGUUUGGGUUUUGGUAUUUUGCUGUUGCGUUUUUUUUUUUUCCUGCUGGUUUUGAAAGAAGUUUGCUUAUCUAAGUUUUAUAACCACUUAAAUGAAUCCCAGCUCUGUUCAAUUCAAUGAAAGCUUUUGCGAGACAGCUGUAAUUUUAUGUGCAUGUGUUUCAGUAAAUUAGAGGGUUUAGCCUUAAGGAUUCACUUUAGUGUAAUCUACUAAAAAGAUAAGUAGAGCCAGAUGCAGUGUCUUACAACCGCUGGACAGUUGCAACUGGAGCGACAGCACUGACAGCAACUUUAUGGCUUUCCUCAUAGGGAGCAGAUUUCCUGACUCAAAAAGAGCAGUAUUUUACAUAAAUAGUUGUCAAUAUUUUGUAUUUACGAUGCAAAGAAAGAAGGGUGCAAAUAGUGAAAAAAUGAAAUAAAAUUAGCCCAAACAACUGAUAA